CGGCGGACGGGUGAGUAACACGUAGGUAACCUGCCCCUUAGACUGGGAUAACUCCGGGAAACCGGAGCUAAUACGGGAUAAUAAAGAGAAUCACCUGAUUCUCUUUUGAAAGACGGUUUCGGCUGUCACUAAGGGAUGGGCCUGCGGCGCAUUAGCUAGUUGGUAAGGUAACGGCUUACCAAGGCGACGAUGCGUAGCCGACCUGAGAGGGUGAUCGGCCACACUGGGACUGAGACACGGCCCAGACUCCUACGGGAGGCAGCAGUAGGGAAUCUUCCGCAAUGGACGAAAGUCUGACGGAGCAACGCCGCGUGAGUGAGGAAGGCCUUCGGGUCGUAAAGCUCUGUUGUGAGGGAAGAACAAGUACCGGCGUAACUACCGGUACCUUGACGGUACCUCACCAGAAAGCCACGGCUAACUACGUGCCAGCAGCCGCGGUAAUACGUAGGUGGCAAGCGUUGUCCGGAAUUAUUGGGCGUAAAGCGCGCGCAGGCGGCUUCUUAAGUCUGAUGUGAAAUCUCGGGGCUCAACCCCGAGCGGCCAUUGGAAACUGGGAAGCUUGAGUGCAGAAGAGGAGAGUGGAAUUCCACGUGUAGCGGUGAAAUGCGUAGAUAUGUGGAGGAACACCAGUGGCGAAGGCG
rnacentral:rRNA from 1 species